rnacentral:rRNA from 1 species
AUUGAACGCUGGCGGCAGGCCUAACACAUGCAAGUCGAGCGAGCGGCGGACGGGGGAGUAAUGGCUGGGAAACUGCCUGAUGGAGGGGCAUAACUACUGGAAACGGUAGCUAAUACCGCAUACCAUCAGCUUUCGCCAGAGGGGGUUAGCUAGUAGGUGGGGUAACGGCUCACCUAGGCGACGAUCCAUAGCUGGCCUGAGAGGUGGACCAGCCACACGGGAACUGAGACACGGCCCAGACUCCUACGGGAGGCAGCAGUGGGGAAUAUUGGGCAAUGGGCGAAAGCCUGACGGAGCCAUGCCGCGUGUGGGAAGAAGGUUUUCGGGUUGUAAAGCACUGUCAGCGGGGAGGCGUUACCUGAAGAAGAAGCCCCGGCUAACUACGUGCCAGCAGCCGCGGUAAUAC